UACAGAGACUGCAAGCGUUAUUCGGAUUCACUGGGCGUAAAGGGUGCGCAGGCGGCCGUGUGUGUGAGGCGUGAAAGCCCGGAGCUCAACUCCGGAAUUGCACCUCAAACUACAUGGCUAGAGCAUUGGAGAGGGAAGCGGAAUUCACGGUGUAGCAGUGAAAUGCGUAGAUAUCGUGAGGAACACCAGAGGCGAAGGCGGCUUCCUGGACAAUUGCUG
rnacentral:rRNA from 1 species